UACGAAGGGUGCUAGCGUUGUUCGGAAUUACUGGGCGUAAAGCGCGCGUAGGCGGCCAUUCAAGUCAGAGGUGAAAGCCCGGAGCUUAACUCCGGAACUGCCUUUGAAGCUGUAUGGCUUGAGUGUCGGAGGGGAUAGCGGAAUUGCUAAUGUAGAGGUGAAAUUCGUAGAUAUUAGCAGGAACACCGGUGGCGAAGGCGGCUAUCUGGACGACAACUGACGCUGAGGCGCGAAAGCGUGGGAUCAAACAGG
rnacentral:rRNA from 1 species